GCCGGCAUAGCUCAGUGGUAGAGCAACGCUUUUGUAAAGCGAAGGUCGUGGGUUCGAAUCCUAUUGCCGGCU
rnacentral:tRNA from 1 species